rnacentral:rRNA from 1 species
GAACAUAAGAGUUUGAUCCUGGCUCAGAUUGAACGCUGGCGGCAUGCUUUACACAUGCAAGUCGGACGGCAGCACGAGUACUUGUACUUGGUGGCGAGUGGCGAACGGGUGAGUAAUAUAUUGGGACGUACCGAGUAAUGGGGGAUAACUAUCCGAAAGGAUAGCUAAUACCGCAUACGCUUUGAGAAGGAAAGCAGGGGAUCUUCGGACCUUGCGUUAUUCGAGCGGCCAAUAACUGAUUAGCUAGUUGGUGGGGUAAGGGCCCACCAAGGCGACGAUCAGUAGCGGGUCUGAGAGGAUGAUCCGCCACACUGGGACUGAGACACGGCCCAGACUCCUACGGGAGGCAGCAGUGGGGAAUUUUGGACAAUGGGCGAAAGCCUGAUCCAGCCAUGCCGCGUGUCUGAAGAAGGCCUUCGGGUUGUAAAGGACUUUUGUUAGGGAAGAAAAGGUUGAUGCUAAUAUCAUUAACUGAUGACGGUACCUAAAGAAUAAGCACCGGCUAACUACGUGCCAGCAGCCGCGGUAAUACGU